rnacentral:lncRNA from 1 species
AACAACUCAAUUGUUGACCAUUGAUUUUAUUUGUUUGAAGAACAUUCUAAAUAACCAAUUAGCAUGGUGGCAGGUGCUUGAAUCACGUAGAUCUCUCUUCUUUCUUGCAUGAGGACUUUACUGAUGGUUCGACACUACUAAACAAAGAAUUGUCAAGCAUAUAAACUAGACAUGCAUCGAAAAUGAAUCUAAAUGGUUAUCAUG